rnacentral:tRNA from 1 species
GGGGUUGUAGCUCAAUGGUAGAGCGCUUGCCUUGUGCACAUGAGGCAUUGGAUUUGAUCCUCAGCACCA